rnacentral:rRNA from 1 species
GAUGAACGCUGGCGGCGUGCCUAAUACAUGCAAGUCGAGCGAACAGACGAGGAGCUUGCUCCUCUGACGUUAGCGGCGGACGGGUGAGUAACACGUGGAUAACCUACCUAUAAGACUGGGAUAACUUCGGGAAACCGGAGCUAAUACCGGAUAACAUGUUGAACCGCAUGGUUCAACAGUGAAAGACGGUCUUGCUGUCACUUAUAGAUGGAUCCGCGCUGCAUUAGCUAGUUGGUAAGGUAACGGCUUACCAAGGCAACGAUGCAUAGCCGACCUGAGAGGGUGAUCGGCCACACUGGAACUGAGACACGGUCCAGACUCCUACGGGAGGCAGCAGUAGGGAAUCUUCCGCAAUGGGCGAAAGCCUGACGGAGCAACGCCGCGUGAGUGAUGAAGGUCUUCGGAUCGUAAAACUCUGUUAUUAGGGAAGAACAAAUGUGUAAGUAACUAUGCACGUCUUGACGGUACCUAAUCAGAAAGCCACGGCUAACUACGUG